rnacentral:pre_miRNA from 1 species
GUAAGUUAAAAAACUGUUUCUUAAUUUUUAACUAAAAAACAAAGAACUGGUUCUUAAAUAAGGAUUUUAAGAACCAGUUCUUAGCUUUUUUAGUUAAAAGUUAAGAAACACUUUCUUAACUUCC